rnacentral:rRNA from 1 species
UUGACCUCGGAUCAGGUAGGGAUACCCGCUGAACUUAAGCAUAUCAAUAAGCGGAGGAAAAGAAACCAACAGGGAUUGCCUUAGUAACGGCGAGUGAAGCGGCAAUAGCUCAAAUUUGAAAGCUGGCGUCUUCGACGUCCGCGUUGUAAUUUGUAGAGGAUGCUUCGGCGAGGACUCCUGCCUAAGUCCCCUGGAACGGGGCGUCACAGAGGGUGAGAAUCCCGUAUGUGGCGGGCGGUCCAAGCCAUGUGAAGCUCCUUCGACGAGUCGAGUUGUUUGGGAAUGCAGCUCUAAAUGGGAGGUAAAUUUCUUCUAAAGCUAAAUAUUGGCCAGAGACCGAUAGCGCACAAGUAGAGUGAUCGAAAGAUGAAAAGCACUUUGGAAAGAGAGUUAAAAAGUACGUGAAAUUGUUGAAAGGGAAGCGCUUGCAACCAGACUCGCUCGCAGUUGCUCAGCCGGCCUCUUGGCCGGUGUACUCUUCUGCGAUCGGGCCAGCAUCAGUUCGGGCGGCUGGAUAAAGGUGUCGGGAAUGUAGCACCCUUCGGGGUGUGUUAUAGCCCGGCGCGGAAUGUGGCCAGCCUGGACUGAGGAUCUCGCUUCGGCAAGGAUGCUGGCGUAAUGGUUGUAAGCGGCCCGUCU